GGGUGGUAAUGCCGGAUGCUCCAUCACACCGCAUGGUGUGUUGGGAAAGCCUUUGCGGCAUGGGAUGGGGUCGCGUCCUAUCAGCUUGAUGGCGGGGUAACGGCCCACCAUGGCUUCGACGGGUAGCCGGCCUGAGAGGGCGACCGGCCACAUUGGGACUGAGAUACGGCCCAGACUCCUACGGGAGGCAGCAGUGGGGAAUAUUGCACAAUGGGCGCAAGCCUGAUGCAGCGACGCCGCGUGAGGGAUGGAGGCCUUCGGGUUGUAAACCUCUUUUGUUAGGGAGCAAGGCACUUUGUGUUGAGUGUACCUUUCGAAUAAGCACCGGCUAACUACGUGCCAGCAGCCGCGGUAAUACGUAGGGUGCAAGCGUUAUCCGGAAUUAUUGGGCGUAAAGGGCUCGUAGGCGGUUCGUCGCGUCCGGUGUGAAAGUCCAUCGCUUAACGGUGGAUCCGCGCCGGGUACGGGCGGGCUUGAGUGCGGUAGGGGAGACUGGAAUUCCCGGUGUAACGGUGGAAUGUGUAGAUAUCGGGAAAGAACACC
rnacentral:rRNA from 1 species